rnacentral:lncRNA from 1 species
UCUGGAUGCAGCAUGAGUGAUGAGUGACCCCAGUGUUCAGCUCCCAGGAGCAGCAGAGCUGGUGCCACAACCCAUGGAAUCCAGUGGCGCACUGCACACUCGCCGGGGGGCACGCCAUGCAAAUCUCCUUCUGGGCCAAUGCACAUGGUUGCUGCCACAGGUUUACCGGAUGCUAUCAAGGUUUCAACUGCCCACACAGCUUCUUCAACGUGUUCAAAAUACUGGAAUCAGUUAAGCUAAGGUAUGAAGGUGUCUGACUCACUCCUCCUGCUACCAAAGCAUCUCCUUCAUCAGCCACUUGUCGGGCGAUGUCGCAAGCAGCUUCAUUGACUUCCUGCCCCUAAAAUGGAGCUUCCUUCCACCACAGGUGAAAAUGCUU